GUAGCUUCCUGCUCGCUUGUGUCUUGCACGAGGGAUGUUAAUAGGCAUUAUUUUACUCUUAUCGUAGAAUUUUUAUGAAGACAAAAGUGCCGAACGAUCAAAUCAUUUAAAAAGACUGAUAGUGUUGAUAUCGGAUAGUGGGUGUGAAUAUAAUAAGUUAGCAUAAUGGCAUUAAAUCCACAAUAUGAAGUUAUUGGAAAGGGUUUUGUACAGCAGUAUUAUGCACUAUUUGACGACCCCACUCAAAGACCAAAUUUAAUAAAUAUGUAUAAUACCGAGUCGUCUUUUAUGACGUUUGAGGGUUUGCAAAUACAGGGUGCUAUUAAAAUCAUGGAAAAAUUAACUAGUUUAUCAUUUCAAAAAAUUAAUCGGAUAAUAACUGCUAUUGACUCGCAACCAAUGUUUGAUGGUGGUGUGCUCAUUAAUGUUUUAGGAAGGUUGCAGACUGAUGAGGAUCAGCCCCAUGCAUACAUCCAGACAUUUGUCCUGAAGCCUAUUGGCACCAGCUUUUACGUGCAGCAUGAUAUCUUCAGACUUGCACUGCACGACACGGUUUAGGCAUCAGGGUAAGUCACUUAAUGCUGGAAUCUAAAAUACCUGCAUUGUUUUUGGGGAUAAGAAAAAAUGUUUGACGAAAGAAACGCUUGAUUUAAAUGGACAAAUAAUAUCAUAAAGGUCACCUUUUCCUCAAGGCAGAUGAAGACCCACCACACGCCUUCUCGCAAAUUUUUGUGCUGAAGCCACUGGGAAAUUCAUUCUUCUGCCAGCAUGACAUCUUUCGCCUUGGCAUUCAUGAUACUGCAUGAAGAAAAGUGUCUGCAAAUUCAUCAUGACUAAUGGCAGACAGUUAUCUGAGCCAUGGACAUCCCACAGAUUGAAAUAA